UUAUUAUUUACAUUAAUAAAUUAUUUGUUCGAUUCAAAUAGGUUUGAUUAAUUAUAUUAUUAUUUAUUUAUUUUAAUUUAUUUUUUAUUUAAUCAGAAAUAUUUUUUUUUUAGUAAAUUUUAUUGAAAUUAUUAUUUUUAGUUAUAGCUUAUUUUACUGUGAAGGAUUUAUUUUAAUUUUAUAAAAGCAUACUUUUUUUGUAUUACCUUUUGUAUCAGGGUUUAUCAAUUUUAUAUUAAUUAUUUUUAAUUUUCCCGAAAUUAAAAGAUAUAUAUUUAUAUGAUUAUUGAUGUUUUAAAUUCAUAUUAAAUAUAAAUAUAGUAGUUAUAUUCUAUUCAUUUAUUAAUAUAUCUGGUUAUUUAAUAAUUUUAUUUAAUAAAGAAUAUAUAAUUUUAAUAUUAAUAUUUAAUUUAUAUUAUUUUAUAUUUUUAAUCAAUAAAGGAUAAGCUCUGAUUUGAUUUUAUAUAACUUUUGUUUAAUAUAAGUUUUGUAGGAUUAGUAACUUUCAUCAUUAAUUUCGUUAUAGUUUAUCUUAUAUUUUUUUUUAUUUGUUUUUUGUUUAUUUUAAUAUUAAAAUUAAUUAAUUAAUAAUAUUUUAUUUAUAAUAAUGAUAAAAUUAGUAUUUUUAAAAUUGAAAUAUAGUAACUCGGCAAUUUUAAUUUUCACCUGUUUAUCAAAAACAUGUCUUUUUGUUUUUAUAUAAAGUCUAGCCUGCUCUAUGAUUUAAAUUAAAUGGCCGCAGUAUUUUAACUGUGCAAAGGUAGCAUGAUCAUUUGCUUCUUAAUUAAAGGCUUGUAUGAAUGGCUGGAUGAGAAAUUAACUUUCUUUAAUUUAUUUUAAUUAACUUUAUUUUUUAGUUAAAAAGCUAAAAUAUAUUUAUUAGACGAGAAGACC
rnacentral:rRNA from 1 species